GACGAACGCUGGCGGCGAGCUUAACACAUGCAAGUCGAACGAUGAAGCCGGAGCUUGCUCUGGUGAAUUAGUGGCGAACGGGUGAGUAACACGUGAGUAACCUGCUCUUGACUCUGGGAUAACUGCUAGAAAUGGUAGCUAAUACCGGAUACGACCCUCGGAGGCAUCUCCAGGGGGUGGAAAGAAUUUCGGUCAAGGAUGGACUCGCGGCCUAUCAGCUAGUGGGUGAGGUAACGGCUCACCAAGGCAACGACGGGUAGCCGGCCUGAGAGGGUGACCGGCCACACUGGGACUGAGACACUGCCCAGACUCCGACGGGAGGCAGCAGUGGGGAAUAUUGCACAAUGGGCGCAAGCCUGAUGCAGCAACGCCGCGUGAGGGAUGACGGCCUUCGGGUUGUAAACCUCUUUUAGUAGGGAAGAAGCGAAAGUGACGGUACCUGCAGAAAAAGCACCGGCUAACUACGUGCCAGCCGCCGCCGUAA
rnacentral:rRNA from 1 species